rnacentral:lncRNA from 1 species
CAAAUCUAAGAACCCUAACAAUGAGAAAGGACCCUAAGACAAAUGAAUAGAAACAUCAAGUUCUUACUUGGACCAAGAGGAGCUCAUGAACCUCAAGAUCUAAGUUUCCAAGCAAACAAACAACAAAAGUGAUUCCACCCUCUUGUUGUUACCUAGUUCCAAGUUUUUGAUUUGCCUCAAGGAAAGAGGACUUUGUCUUUCCAUG